rnacentral:rRNA from 1 species
GUCUAUGGUCAUACUACCCUGAUCGCAUGGAUCUCUUCUUAUCUCAGAAGCUAAACGGGGUUGAGAUUAUGUUCCAAAAUUCAUCAAAUGCAUCAUUCAGCAUAUUCUUGGUGAGUAACAAGAUAUAGACA